rnacentral:rRNA from 1 species
AGUGAACGCUGGCGGUAGGCCUAACACAUGCAAGUCGAACGGCAGCACAGUAAGCGCUUGCUCUUACGGGUGGCGAGUGGCGGACGGGUGAGGAAUACAUCGGAAUCUACUUUUUCGUGGGGGAUAACGUAGGGAAACUUACGCUAAUACCGCAUACGACCUACGGGUGAAAGCAGGGGAUCUUCGGACCUUGCGCGAUUGAAUGAGCCGAUGUCGGAUUAGCUAGUUGGCGGGGUAAAGGCCCACCAAGGCGACGAUCCGUAGCUGGUCUGAGAGGAUGAUCAGCCCACUGGAACUGAGACACGGUCCAGACUCCUACGGGAGGCAGCAGUGGGGAAUAUUGGACAAUGGGCGCAAGCCUGAUCCAGCCAUACCGCGUGGGUGAAGAAGGCCUUCGGGUUGUAAAGCCCUUUUGUUGGGAAAGAAAAGCAGCAGGUUAAUACCCCGCUGUUCUGACGGUACCCAAAGAAUAAGCACCGGCUAACUUCGUG